rnacentral:rRNA from 1 species
AGCGAACGCUGGCGGCAGGCUUAACACAUGCAAGUCGAGCGCCGUAGCAAUACGGAGCGGCAGACGGGAGAGUAACACGUGGGAACGUACCCUUUGGUUCGGAACAACCCAGGGAAACUUGGGCUAAUACCGAAUAAGCCCUCACGGGGAAAGAUUUAUCGCCGAAGGAUCGGCCCGCGUCUGAUUAGCUAGUUGGUGAGGUAAUGGCCCACCAAGGCGACGAUCAGUAGCUGGUCUGAGAGGAUGAUCAGCCUCACUGGGACUGAGACACGGCCCAGACUCCUAGGGGAGGCAGCAGUGGGGAAUAUUGGACAAUGGGCGCAAGCCUGAUCCAGCCAUGCCGCGUGGGUGAUGAAGGCCCUAGGGUUGUAAAGCCCUUUCGGCGGGGAAGAUAAUGACGGUACCCGCAGAAGAAGCCCCGGCUAACUUCGUGCCAGCAGCCGCAGUAA